AAGUCGUAACACGGAAGGAUCAUUAACACGCAUCCAAUGUUAAACAACCCUGUGAACUUUCAACGCUCUUGUAACCACAGCAAUCCCGGUAAAUCAGUGGGCGGAAAAGUUUUGAUUCGGGACCUCUGUCCAAAAGUUACAAUCGAGCUAGGAGCAGUGGCAUGGUUUCCCUGCAGUGCAGAAGUAUCCACUGAGUAAGGAUAACGCAUCACGGUUGCCAGAGGUCGAUCGGGCUAUAUCCCCUCGUUUCCGCCGGGCACAAAAACCGAACAACUGUUAACAAUGGAUAUCUUGGUUCUC
rnacentral:misc_RNA from 1 species